AUUGAACGCUGGCGGCAGGCCUAACACAUGCACGUAGAACGAGUGGCGGACGGGUGAGUAAUGUCUGGGAAACUGCCCGAUGGAGGGGGAUAUCUACUGGAAACGGUAGCUAAUACCGCAUACCAUCGGAUGUGCCCUUAUGGGAUUAGCUAGUAGGUGGGGGAACGGCUCACUUAGGCGACGAUCACUAGCUGGGCUGAGAGGAUGACCGGCAACACUGGGACUAAGACAAGGUCCGGAAUCCGAGGGGAGGCAGCAGUGUGGAAGAUGGGACAAUGGGCGCAAGCCUGAUGCAGCCAUGCCGCGUGUAUGAAGAGGGCCUUGGGGUUGUAAAGUACUUUCAGCGAGGAGGCGUUACUCGCAGAGGAAGCGCCGGGUAACUCCGUGCGAGCGGCCGGGGGAAUAC
rnacentral:rRNA from 1 species